rnacentral:rRNA from 1 species
ACGGAAAGACCCCGUGAACCUUUACUAUAGCUUGACACUGAACAUUGAGCCUUGAUGUGUAGGAUAGGUGGGAGGCUUUGAAGUGUGGACGCCAGUCUGCAUGGAGCCGACCUUGAAAUACCACCCUUUAAUGUUUGAUGUUCUAACGUGGACCCGUAAUCCGGGUUGCGGACAGUGUCUGGUGGGUAGUUUGACUGGGGCGGUCUCCUCCUAAAGAGUAACGGAGGAGCACGAAGGUUGG